rnacentral:rRNA from 1 species
UGGCGAACGGGUGGGUAAUACAUCGGAACAUGUCCUGUAGUGGGGGAUAGCCCGGCGAAAGCCGGAUUAAUACCGCAUACGAUCUACGGAUGAAAGCGGGGGACCUUCGGGCCUCGCGCUAUAGGGUUGGCCGAUGGCUGAUUAGCUAGUUGGUGGGGUAAAGGCCUACCAAGGCGACGAUCAGUAGCUGGUCUGAGAGGACGACCAGCCACACUGGGACUGAGACACGGCCCAGACUCCUACGGGAGGCAGCAGAU